AUGAAGGUAAAAACCAAAACCACCAACCGAGAAGACACGAGUAGAGUCGAGACGAUUGCAGUUGCCGUUGCACCACACGUGGCCACCCCACACCGACGGGUGGUGGUACCGCUCGAAAGCGAGGGGAUCACACACACACACACGAAGGUAGAUCGAUCGAUCAGAAAUCAGAUAAUACAUGCAUGGCAUGGACCAUUAGCAAGUGCAACGCCGCUAAGCUUCGCUGUCCCGCCAAUGGACUGGAGCCUCGUCAGCUCGCCGGGAUGUGCCGGUCGGGCCUUGAUCGAUCUGAGACGUACGACGGAAUCAGUUGCGGGUCCCGCGAGUGGCGCAUGGGCGAGGAAGCUAGGCGACGCGCGCUCGAGUGGACAGGUCUUGUCGCUGGCCGGCCCCAUUACCCCGUUAUCCAUCUAA
rnacentral:rRNA from 1 species